AUUGAACGCUAGCGGGAUGCCUUACACAUGCAAGUCGAACGGCAGCACGGACUUCGGUCUGGUGGCGAGUGGCGAACGGGUGAGUAAUGUAUCGGAACGUGCCUAGUAGCGGGGGAUAACUACGCGAAAGCGUAGCUAAUACCGCAUACGCCCUACGGGGGAAAGCGGGGGAUCGUAAGACCUCGCACUAUUAGAGCGGCCGAUAUCGGAUUAGCUAGUUGGUGAGGUAAAGGCUCACCAAGGCGACGAUCCGUAGCUGGUUUGAGAGGACGACCAGCCCCACUGGGACUGGGACACGGCCCAGACUCCUACGGGAGGCAGCAGUGGGGAAUUCUGGACAAUGGGGGCAACCCUGAUCCAGCCAUCCCGCGUGUGCGAUGAAGGCCUUCGGGUUGUAAAGCACUUUUGGCAGGAAAGAAACGGCGCCGGAUAAUACCUGGCGCAACUGACGGUACCUGCAGAAUAAGCACCGGCUAACUACGUGCCAGCAGCCGCAGUAA
rnacentral:rRNA from 1 species